AAGGCACAGAACAUAAUCUCAAAGAACUCCCAACAUUAAGGAAUAUACAAAGGAGACUAAGGAACAGAUAAGGGGAAAAAAAUCAGGAGUCAUUCACAGAAGCCACAUGCUAAAGAUGAAGUGGGAAGGAAAAUGCCUAUCAAAUGGAGCAAAAAGAUCAAUAUAAGGGCACAGGUGACAGUCAACAGAGUACAAACGAUGUAAUCUUGAGGUAGAACACCAGAGAAUUUUUAUCUGGAGAAAUAAAUGGGAGACAAUUAAGUGGAAGAAAUAUGGGGAGGGACAGAUACAAGGAAGUAUGUGUGAAGUGGAAAUCAGGAGGUGAGAUGGAGGACAAGGAAGAAGCACAGUUAAAAGCAGCAUGAAGAAGUUAAAACCUGGACUCACUGACGCUGUGUUAAAAUUUAGUGCUAAAUGUAAGCAACAACACUGGAGCAUUGUUAUUUUAUCAAGACACCUGAACAUAGCAAAAUUAAUUUUGUUCAUUUUUAUUAACAUAGGACAUACUAACCAAAUAUUAUCAUUUAAUAAAAUCAACGUUACAAAGAAACUCACUAGCAAAUAAACAAACGAUAUUCACUUGACUCU
rnacentral:lncRNA from 1 species